AACGAACGCUGGCGGCAGGCCUAACACAUGCAAGUCGAGCGGACCCUUCGGGGUUAGCGGCGGACGGGUGAGUAGCGCGUGGGAAUAUGCCCUUCUCUACGGAAUAGUCCUGGGAAACUGGGGGUAAUACCGUAUACGCCCUUUGGGGGAAAGAUUUAUCGUGGAAGGAUUAGCCCGCGUUGGAUUAGGUAGUUGGUGGGGUAAUGGCCUACCAAGCCGACGAUCCAUAGCUGGUUUGAGAGGAUGAUCAGCCACACUGAGACUGAGACACGGCCCAGACUCCUACGGGAGGCAGCAGUGGGGAAUCUUAGACAAUGGCGGCAACCCUGAUCUAGCCAUGCCGCGUGAGUGAUGAAGGCCUUAGGGUAGUAAAGCUCUUUCAGCUGGGAAGAUAAUGACGGUACCAGCAGAAGAAGCCCCGGCUAACUCCGUG
rnacentral:rRNA from 1 species